UGGGGGAUAUUGCACAAUGGGCGAAAGCCUGAUGCAGCGACGCCGCGUGGGGGAUGAAGGCCUUCGGGUUGUAAACUUCUUUUGCUCUGAACAAGGCAUGCUAAUGGGUGUGUUGAGUGUAGGGGUUGAUUAGCGCCGGCUAACUACGUGCCAGCAGCCGCGGUAAUACGUAGGGCGCGAGCGUUGUCCGGAAUUAUUGGGCGUAAAGGGCUUGUAGGUGGCUGGUUGCGUCUGUCGUGAAAGAUCAUGGCUUAACUGUGGGUUUGCGGUGGGUACGGGCUGGCUUGAGUGCAGUAGGGGAGGCUGGAAUUCCUGGUGUAGCGGGGGAAUGCGCAGAUAUCAGGGGGAAUACCGGUGGCGAAGGCGGGUCUCUGGGCUGUUACUGACACUGAGGAGCGAAAGCAUGGGGAGCGAACAGG
rnacentral:rRNA from 1 species